rnacentral:rRNA from 1 species
GAUGAACGCUAGCGGGAGGCCUAACACAUGCAAGCCGAGCGGUAUUGUUUCUUCGGAAAUGAGAGAGCGGCGUACGGGUGCGUAACACGUGUGCAACCUGCCUUUAUCUGGGGGAUAACCUUUCGAAAGGAAGAUUAAUACUCCAUAACAUAUUGAACGGCAUCGUUUAAUAUUUAAAGCUCCGGCGGAUAGAGAUGGGCACGCGCAAGAUUAGCUAGUUGGUGAGGUAACGGCUCACCAAGGCGAUGAUCUUUAGGGGGCCUGAGAGGGUGAUCCCCCACACUGGUACUGAGACACAGACCAGACUCCUACGGGAGGCAGCAGUGAGGAAUAUUGGUCAAUGGGUGCAAGCCUGAACCAGCCAUCCCGCGUGAAGGACGACUGCCCUAUGGGUUGUAAACUUCUUUUGUAUAGGGAUAAACCUACCCUCGUGAGGGUAGCUGAAGGUACUAUACGAAUAAGCACCGGCUAACUCCGUGCCAGCCGCCGCCGUAACAC